rnacentral:misc_RNA from 1 species
AUGCUAUAAAAAUAACCCGGUAAUUAUUUGCAGUAGCAAAGAACGGGUAGUCGUUUAAUUAGAUCAUCGGUUUAGUAGAUGACCUGCCAUUUUAGUUUUCAUAGCGAUCUCUGCAGCUAGAGACGCUGCCGGUUUGAUAUAUGUAGAGUUCCACACUUGAACGGCGACAAGCUUCCAUCGAAUCUCCAGUGUCGCAUGGGACUUGGCUUCACUGCGGGGUUUCGGAUUGUGCAACUGGUCUUUAGAUGUAUCAGUCAAAGAACCUGUGUUCGUUCCUUUGAAAAAAACGACAAUGGUCUUUUUAUCAUUAUUUUUUGGUUUAUUGGGCUCCAAGACUCAGCAUAAGCUCAUUGAUUCGUUCUUUUCUCCCUUGAUAGAUGAAGAAUUGUUAAACAAAGGCCGAGUGCCGGCCUGCCAAAAGUGGGUUUGCAGGCGAAAAGGGAAAAAUCUGAAAAAAGAUUAGUAGAGCAUUGUAAGUUAAAUCAGCCAGCUUUAAUAUGUCUGCAUUCAGCAUGCAAUACAAGCACUAGCAGCAGACCUUUGUAGCUUCCCUGCGAGUAGAGGAGCAGAAGCACUCUUGAUUCUUCUGUACCCUUUUGUUUCUGAACUCUCUGUAAAAGCUCACAGCAUUUUCUUGGAUUUUAGGUUGUGUUUCAAAAUCAUACACAGUUUCAAGAAAUCAUGCUAGAAAAAUUCUGCCUGUUAAAUCUAUAGUACAAUGCAUAUCUGCCUGCAAGCCUUGGAAUGCCCUUAUCAGAAAUCCUACCUUCAUUUCCACUCA